rnacentral:rRNA from 1 species
CCUACGGGUGGCAGCAGUGGGGAAUAUUGGACAAUGGGGGGAACCCUGAUCCAGCCAUGCCGCGUGUGUGAAGAAGGCACUCGGGUUGUAAAGCACUUUCAGUGAGGAAGAACGCCUGGUGGUUAAUACCCAUCAGGAAAGACAUCACUCACAGAAGAAGCACCGGCUAACUCCGUGCCAGCAGCCGCGGUAAUACGGAGGGUGCGAGCGUUAAUCGGAAUUACUGGGCGUAAAGCGCGCGUAGGUGGCUUGAUAAGCCGGUUGUGAAAGCCCCGGGCUCAACCUGGGAACGGCAUCCGGAACUGUCAAGCUAGAGUGCAGGAGAGGAAGGUAGAAUUCCCGGUGUAGCGGUGAAAUGCGUAGAGAUCGGGAGGAAUACCAGUGGCGAAGGCGGCCUUCUGGACUGACACUGACACUGAGGUGCGAAAGCGUGGGUAGCAAACAGGAUUAGAUACCCCAGUAGUC